rnacentral:rRNA from 1 species
GGGUGUGAUCAUACCAGCACUAAUGCACCGGAUCGCAUCAGAACUCUACGGUUAAGCGUGUUAAGACAAAAGAAAUCUUACGAUGGGUGACCUUCUAGGAAAUUAGGUUGUGUUGUGUGUA